UUUCCGUAGGUGAACCUGCGGAAGGAUCAUUGUAGGAUUGUUUUGGGAGGGGUGGUUGUGAUUUGUGGGGAUUGUGUGUGGUUGUUUGGAUUGCCUGGAUUGCCUGGGUGUCUGCAACUCGACUCGUCUCAUCACAACCACUCUUCUCACAUUGGCACAGACCAGUGGUGUCUGAUGUUUAAAGCAACAGACCACUGGUGUCUGAUGUUUGCGCUUGCUCGUUUGACAGAAACAGUACCAUAUCAUUGCAAAACUUUUAACAAUGGAUCUCUUGGCUCUU
rnacentral:misc_RNA from 1 species